GAUGAACGCUAGCUACAGGCUUAACACAUGCAAGUCGAGGGGCAGCACAGUGUAGCAAUACUGAGAUGGCGACCGGCGCACGGGUGCGUAACGCGUAUCCAACCUCCCCGUUACUCUUGGAUAGCCUUCCGAAAGGGAGAUUAAUACAAGAUGGUGUUGAAAUUCCGCAUGUUAUUUCAACUAAAGAUUUAUCGGUAACGGAUGGGGAUGCGUGACAUUAGAUAGUAGGCGGGGUAACGGCCCACCAAGGCGACGAUCGUUAGGGGUUCUGAGAGGAAGGUCCCCCACACUGGAACUGAGACACGGUCCAGACUCCUACGGGAGGCAGCAGUGAGGAAUAUUGGUCAAUGGGCGGGAGCCUGAACCAGCCAAGUAGCGUGAAGGAUGACUGCCCUACGGGUUGUAAACUUCUUUUGUUUGGGAAUAAAAGACGCUACGUGUAGCGUUCUGCAUGUACCUUACGAAUAAGCAUCGGCUAAUUCCGUG
rnacentral:rRNA from 1 species